AUGAGCCACGGGCCCUCGGUGGGGCCCCCAGCACAGCAAAAUAAGCCCAAGAAAAGCCCCUUGGCCACCAGCUCCCUAUCUCCUGGAGCAGGCUGCUUAUCGCAGCGCAGCCACCCCGAGGCUCGCGCCGUGUCCCACCAGCCCCCCCACACCCUUCCCUCCCCCAAAGCCUCAGCAGCUGAACAUCAGCUGGUUCCUCAGCCUCAUUUCCUUCCCUCCCAAACUCCACGAGGCCAAACCCGCCCAGGAAGGUCGGCGCAAGGCACGCGCGCCCCACGGGAAAGCCCGGCCGGGAACGGUCCAUCCCGCCCCGUGCUCAUCCCCAUCCAAGGCGGCACGAGCAUGGCGCGGAGGGCUCGCACACACACCGGUGCUCCCCGCGUGAUGCUCUGCCUCCAGCCCAGCAUCAAGCCCGGUCCCAGGAGGACGCCCAACACGGCUGGAGGAUGCCAAGCCCUCCUCCUGGCCCAGCGUCAAGCCCGGAGUGCUCUUCGCCAGCAUCCCCCUGCCCCAUCGCCGUGGACACGUGCCAGGAGCACACUCUGCAGCCUCUUGGGUGCCAAGAGUUGCUCUGCUUCCCUCCUCCUCCUCCUCCUUCUCCUCCUCCUCUUCCCAGCACUCUCCCCACCAUCCUUCCCUGCCCAGGGAUGCUUCGCCCCCAGGGGUGCCCCGGUCCUGGCUCCCCGCUUGCGGAGGUGCUGGGUGCCCGCACCCAAGGGAUGCGCAGGAGGCACCCACAAGGCACGGGGACCUGCCCGAGCCGCCCGCCACAGCUCCCACGCGAGGGACGGUCACUCCCAGCCCUCCCCCCCAGGCCCCAGCAUUCCUGCAGGCCGGCGAAUUACGGGGCUCACCGAACCAAAUCCCCGGCGCGAGCUGCCGCGUGACGCACGGCGAGCGGAGGCACCUCCGAGCCGACGCAGGCUGCGUGGCAGCGGGCACCGGCCCGCGGGGGCGCCGGCCCCACCUCCCUGCUGCGAGCUGCCCCGGUCAGCUGGACGGAUGAGGAAUUAUUAA
rnacentral:lncRNA from 1 species